GUUUAUAUUAUUAAAGGGACACUCCAGGCUCCCACACACGUUAGAUGCACUGCGUAGGUUAGGUUACAGUUAGUUAUACUGGGUGGGUUUAUAUUAUAAAAGGGACAUUCCAGGCUCCCACACACGUUAGAUGCACUGUGUAGGUUAGGUUACAGUUAGUUAUACUGGGUGGGUUUAUAUUAUUAAAGGGACACUCCAGGCUCCCACACAGGUUAGAUGCACUGUGAAGGUUAGGUUACAGUUAGUUAUACUGGGUGGGUUUAUAUUAUUAAAGGGACACUCCAGGCUCCCACA